rnacentral:lncRNA from 14 species
GUGUUUAAUUUCCUCAAGGGGACCAGAUCUAUAACAUGUUUGUGAGUAGCCGGACCUUUUAAGAACAAAAGGUCCCUGCUUUGAGAUAGAAGCAUAAUUCUGUUCCUCAGGGAAAGGUUUUCACAGUGUGGUGUUUAUCGUAACUAGAGCCACAUUGCAGGGCUGAGUUCUUCAAGCCCAGCGUACUUGCUCAGUGCCUCAGCUGUGUUAGCAUGUGAGUUCACUUCUAUCCAACGGCUCCAGAGCGAUUCUCUCUUAGAGAGAAGACACACCAGACCCUAAAGGGCUCCUUAUAGCGUGUCACAUCAUAAACAUCCUUCCCAGCAUUCUGGUCCAACACUGCUCACCUUCAGAGCUCUGGAAAUAAGUGACGAGGUUCAAAUGCAGCCUUUCUGUUGUGGUUAAGGAGAGAAUGGGAAGAAAUGGCAAAGUAGACAGGGUCCAGACCACAAAGUGCAGACUACUUGGUAAGCCUCUAAAAGUCAGGACAGGCCAACUGUGGCAGCAUUUCCUUGGCAUAGAAAGCUGUGCUGGGUAGUGCGUGCUGAUCCAUAGGAUGAGCAGCCAGAGGGAAUGACAGUAUCUGUUGGUUUCUGUCCUGUAGGGAUCAAUACAGCAAUUUUAGUCGGUGGAAUGUCCACACAGAAACAGCAAAGGAUGCUGAACCGCCAUCCUGAGAUUGUGAUCGCCACCCCUGGUCGGCUCUGGGAGUUAAUCAAAGAAAAACACCCUCAUUUGAGUAACCUUCGGCAGCUCAGGUGCCUGGUCAUAGAUGAGGCUGAUCGGAUGGUUGAGAAAGACCAUUUUGCUGAACUCUCUCAGCUGCUAGAGAUGCUAAAUGACUCCCAGUACAACCCCAAUCGCCAAACUCUUGUUUUUUCUGCCACACUAACCUUGGUACACCAAGCUCCUGCACGAAUCCUUCAUAAGAAACACGUGAAGAAAAUGGAUAAAACUGCCAAACUUGACCUUCUCAUGCAGAAGAUUGGCAUGCGGGGCAAACCGAAAGUCAUUGACCUCACAAGGAAUGAGGGCACAGUGGAGACGCUGACGGAGACCAAGAUCCACUGCGAGACAGAUGAGAAAGACUUGUAUCUCUACUAUUUUCUCAUGCAGUACCCAGGUCGUAGCCUGGUAUUUGCCAACAGCAUCUCUUGCAUCAAACGCCUCUCUGGGCUCCUCAAGGUCUUGGAUAUCAUGCCACUGACCCUGCAUGCCUGCAUGCACCAGAAGCAAAGGCUCAGAAACCUGGAGCAGUUUGCUCGGCUGGAAGACUGUGUUCUCUUGGCAACAGACGUGGCAGCUCGGGGUCUGGAUAUUCCUAAAGUUCAGCAUGUCAUCCAUUACCAGGUACAGCUCUUGGUGUUAAUGCUACACACACACACCCCUGCAUCCCAUCCCCUGUCACACACACACCCCUGCUCCUCAUCCCCUGUCCCACCCCUGCAGUGAAUGAGGAAAUGUUAAAGCAGAAGUCGAGCAGAGGGGAGGAAUAUUCCUCCUCAGGUUCCUUGUAACAGGUUCUCAUUAGCAUCAGUGCUCACUGUUACUGCUCUUCAGAUACUUGGUGAGAGCCCUAUCAAGUAGCCUUUCUCUUCAGGCUACUCGAUAUCGACAGAUGAAAGUGUGAGCUUAGUGUUUUCUGUCACUAUGACAGAAUGCCUUAAACAUGGUAAUUUUUAAAGAGGGUGUGCCUAUUGAUUCUGGGGCUGCAAAAUCCAAGGGCGUGUCACCAGCAUCCGCUCAGCUUCUGUGGGAGCCUUGGUGGAAGGACAAGCAGGAGGUAAGCAGGAGGGAGACAGCCUUGGCGUGUGUCUCAUGCCAGUCCAGACCCUGGAGAGCAAGAACUCUAGUUCUCUUUCUGUCCCAUCCACAGACACCUCCCACUAGGCCCCUCCUAACACUGCUGUACUUGUAACACCAAAGAAUUUAGCUUCAGCAUGAGUUUUGGUGGGGAUAGACCACAGCGACAUAAUUUUGGCUUAGGAUUUUUAAUAAUUUUAGUUUUUAUUGAAAAUGGAUUUUUUUUAUACACUAUAUUCUGAUCACAGUUCCUCUCCCCCAGGUCAUCCCAGAUCUUCCCCACCUCCCAUCUUCCUUACCCACCCACAUCUGUACUUUUUCUUUCUCUCUCUUUACAAAAUAGGCAACUGAAACAAAGCAAAGCAAAGCAAACAAGCCAGAGUCCAACUGUAAAAUACAAGAGACACACAGAUACAAAGGCACACACUCCCAUACACAAAAUCCCAGAAAACCACAGAAUCAGAAACCAUAAUAUAUAAACAAAAACCUGUAAAGGGAAGGAGGGGAGCAUUUUAAGACCAAAAAGAAGAAGAAGAAGAAGAAGAGGAAAUCUCUGAAAAUACUGUCAAGUUCAUUUUGUGUUGGCCGUGUACUGCGGGGCCUGGGGCCUGACCCUAAGCGUGGUUUGUAUACCCAGUGAGACUGCUGGAGAAAACUAACUUUUCUUAUGCCAGGGGUUGUCAGUCGAAGACAGAUAGCCUCCGGGUUGGGGAUGGGGGCUUGUAUUCACCCCUCUUCUCGGCCCUAGGGCCCUUGGCUUAGAUCUUAGAUCUGUGCGGACCCUGUGCAUGCUGCUUCGGUCUCUGAGUUCACACGUGUGUCGGUCCUGUUGUGUCAGGAAGGCCUCAUUUCCUUGUGUCUUCCAUACCUGCUGACUUGUACAGUCUUUCCACUUUUCCUCUUCCACAAUGUUUCCUGAGCCCUGAGAGGAGGAAUUUGAUGGAGACAUCUCACUAAGACUUAAUGUUCCAGUGUCCAGUUGUGUGUCUGUAUUUGUUCCCAUCUGCUUCAGGAGAAAGCUUCUUAUUGAUGAUAGCUGAGCAAGACACUGCUCUGUGAGUACAGGAGGAGGAUGCUAUUAAAGAGCCAUUUAGCUGCUGUGUUCCUUUAACAGAACAGUAGUAUUUGGUUUGCCCCUGGGUAUGUGUCAGUUUCUUGGCUGCCUAGCAGUGUCAGACAUGGGUUCUGUCUCAAGGUGUGGGCCUUGAUUCCAGUCCCAUACGGCCAGUCACUCCCACAGUGUUUGUGCCACUCUUGCAGGUCACCAUGGUAGAUGGAGGGGUUGGUAGCUGGGUUGCUAUUUACCUUUUUCUUCUGGUAACAUGCAGAGUACUUUCUCAUACUGUGGACAUUAGUCCACAUAGCACUGGUACAUAGGGAUUCGAGUAGUUCUAGGAAGGUUCUAGGUAGGCAGCACCUCCACUUCUCCAUGUUCAGUGAAUUCUGUAGGUGUGGCCUUCAGCAGAAGGGCUUUACCGUCAGCUUGUGGAGAGCAACAGUUAGUCUUGGCAAUACCCUGGAGUUUUUUUGGGGUGUGUGUGUGCAGGGGGGUCUGUAGGACUCCUCACACACAGCUGUGUGUUAAAUGGCUGCUGUGCAGUUCAAGGGCAGUGAACUUAAGACUGCCCUUGGCUAAAUCCUGGCUGUGUGACCUUCAAUAAAUAGUUUGUAUCCCUUGGUUUUCUCAUUUUGUAAAUGACAGGGUUGUGCAUCUCUGGGUUAGUAGGGCACAAAGGUAAAGAGCUUGGGCAGCCAGUUGGAAACACUGACUACAUGUUCCAGGUCAGUAGUAGCAGUAACGUUAGUGAUUGUGACAAACCAACAGUACCAUGUAGUUGUAGCUGGAAGCGUGGGCUCCAGAUCCUGCUGCCAGGAAUUGAGCACCACUCUGAUGCUUUAGUGUCCAUAGCUUUGGGCAGGUG